rnacentral:tRNA from 1 species
GGAGAGAUAGCCAAGUUGGUGUAGUUCUCUAAAUUGAACUAUUGAGGGUGCGAUUCCCUCUCUCUCCC